CCUACGGGAGGCAGCAGUGGGGAAUUUUGGACAAUGGGGGCAACCCUGAUCCAGCCAUGCCGCGUGAGUGAAGAAGGCCUUCGGGUUGUAAAGCUCUUUCGGCCGGAACGAAAUCGCGCACGUGAAUAACGUGCGUGGAUGACGGUACCGGAGUAAGAAGCACCGGCUAACUACGUGCCAGCAGCCGCGGUAAUACGUAGGGUGCGAGCGUUAAUCGGAAUUACUGGGCGUAAAGCGUGCGCAGGCGGUUCGCUAAGUCAGACGUGAAAGCCCCGGGCUUAACCUGGGAACGGCGUUUGAAACUGGCGGGCUCGAGUACGGCAGAGGGGGGUGGAAUUCCACGUGUAGCAGUGAAAUGCGUAGAUAUGUGGAGGAACACCGAUGGCGAAGGCAGCCCCCUGGGCCGAUACUGACGCUCAUGCACGAAAGCGUGGGGAGCAAACAGGAUUAGAUACCCUGGUAGUCCACGCCCUAAACUAUGUCAACUAGUUGUCGGGGAAGCAAUUCCUUGGUAACGCAGCUAACGCGUGAAGUUGACCGCCUGGGGANCGGUCGCAAGAUUAAAACUUAAGGAAUUGACGG
rnacentral:rRNA from 1 species